rnacentral:rRNA from 1 species
GAUGAACGCUGGCGGCGUGCCUAAUACAUGCAAGUCGAGCGAACAGACGAGGAGCUUGCUCCUCUGACGUUAGCGGCGGACGGGUGAGUAACACGUGGAUAACCUACCUAUAAGACUGGGAUAACUUCGGGAAACCGGAGCUAAUACCGGAUAAUAUAUUGAACCGCAUGGUUCAAUAGUGAAAGACGGUUUUGCUGUCACUUAUAGAUGGAUCCGCGCCGCAUUAGCUAGUUGGUAAGGUAACGGCUUACCAAGGCGACGAUGCGUAGCCGACCUGAGAGGGUGAUCGGCCACACUGGAACUGAGACACGGUCCAGGCUCCUACGGGAGGCAGCAGUAGGGAAUGUUCCGCAAUGGGCGAAAGCCUGACGGAGCAACGCCGCGUGAGUGAUGAAGGUCUUCGGAUCGUAAAACUCUGUUAUUAGGGAAGAACAAAUGUGUAAGUAACUAUGCACGUCUUGACGGUACCUAAUCAGAAAGCCACGGCUAACUACGUG